UAUAUAUAUUCUCGUUGAAAACAUAGGUAAGUUCAUAGCAGUGUAGAAUCGUGGUGCAGACUUGUGAAAUGAUGUCUUGGUACUGAUAUUUAGUAUUAGUUUUGUACUCAUCAAAUAAAAAGAUCUAAACUAAAACAAAUAUCUUUUUUGAAAUAAAAGUAAAAGAGUUAGUGACAUCUAUUAUUGAUCUCACCAAAUUUACCAAAGUGAAACAUCAAAAAGAUAGAGGGGGAACAAAUGAGAGUUCAACCAUUCAUAUAUAUCUUCUUAUAUGGUCUAUGAAUAAUUGAAGCCAAGCUUCCAGUAAUAUCAUCAUAAUCAUAAAGUUACAACAAUUUGGAAAAUUACUUGGCAACCUUAUCAAUUGAAAAUCUACAUGAAAUGACCAUAGACCAAACUAUAAGCAUGUGCAAAUUGUGAUAAAACUCUAUUGUAUAUUUAGAAAAUUAGAAGAUCUUUGUUCUUUUAUUCGAUGAGUCAAUCUAUCCAUUCUCAUUAGGGGAAUUCCUUUAUCUUAUCAAGAGUCCUAGGGAAAUAAAAAAUAACUUCGAGGUAUUUUUUUCGUUUCUUUAAACUUCUUACAAUUUUAUCAUCCUACACCUCAGGACUCACAUAGCUUUAAAGUUAUUUUCUAUUCAAGCAAUCCAAUUUCCACCAAGGACGAUAAAUUUUAAGUUGUCAUAAUACUAAACAAAGAAUAGCUAAGGAUAUGACUACUUUAAAGGUUAUUAUGGAUAUUGUGGGAAGAACACACAUGAAAAGCAAGCUUUGUAAACAUAAAUUUGGCUAACCAAGUUGGGUCGGUGAUCCUAGUUUUAGCAUCUUGCCUGAACUUGCAUAUUUUGUCACUGCUACUUCCCUUUCUUGUCAAUCAUAGUUGAAGAGGUCAUAUUCCUUUUGUUUCUUUUAGUGGCACUUGUAAUCCAUUGAUUGAAGAUAGAAAAGUAACUGCAGUUUCGGUGACCUCAAGGUUAUGAGCCUUGCGAGCUAUCAGAUUGUUGUACCACAAGCCAAAGAUAAGAACUGAAAACUAAUAGAUAAAAAGAAUUAAAUGUUCCCCUCCACCCUAUCAGUACAAAUAGAAUAAAAGUGAAACAUCAAAAAGAUAGAGGGGAACAAAUGAGAGUUCAACCAUUCAUAUAUAUCUUCUUAUAUGGCCUAUGAAUAGUUCAAGCCAAGCUUCCAGUAAUAUCAUCAUAAUCAUAAAGUUGCAACAAAUUGGGAAAUUACUUGGCAACCUUAUCAAUUGAAAUCUACAUGAAAUGACCAUAGACCAAACUAUAAGCAUGUGCAAAUUGUGAUAAAACUCUAUUGUAUAUUUAGAAAAUUAGAAGAUCUUUGUUCUUUUAUUCGAUGAGUCAAUCUAUCCAUUCUCAUUAGGGGAAUUCCUUUAUCUUAUCAAGAGUCCUAGGGAAAUAAAAAAUAACUUCGAGGUAUUUUUUUCGAUUCUUUAAACCUCUUCAAAUUUUAUCAUCCUACAUCUCAGGACUCAGAUAGCUUUGAAGUUAUUUUCUAUUCAAGCAAUCCAAUUUUCACAAAGGACGAUAAAUUUUAAGUUGUCAUAAUAUUAAACAAAGAAUAGCUAAGGAUAUGACUACAUUAAAGGUCAUUAUGGAUAUUGUGGGAAGAACACACAUGAAAAGCAAGCUUUGUAAACAUAAAUUUGGCUAACCAAGUUGUGUCGGUGAUCCUAGUUUCAGCAUCUUGCCUGAAUAUUUUGUCACUGCUACUUCCCUUUCUUGCAAAUCGUAGUUGAAGAGGUCAUAUUCCUUUUGUUUCUUUUAGUGGCACUUGUAAUCCAUUGAAUUAGGAUGUUACAGAAUUUGAUAAUAUAUUUACUAAGAUCAAUGGAUCAUUCUUCUAACAAUUUGAACAUAACUUUCAUCAAACAUGUUAUGUACAAAGGAAUAUGACUACAAAAUGAGGAUAGAAAAGUAACUGCAGUUUCCGUGAGCUCAAGGUUAUGAGCCUUGCGAGCUAUCAGAUUGAUGUACCACAAGCCAAAGAUAAGAACUGAAAACUAAUAUAUAAAAAGAAUUAAAUGUUCCCCUCCACCUUAUCAGUACAAAUAGAAUAAAAGUGAAACAUCAAAAAGAUAAAGGGGAACAAAUAAGAGUUCAACCAUUCAUAUAUAUCUUCUUAUAUGGCCUAUGAAUAGUUCAAGCCAAGCUUCCA
rnacentral:lncRNA from 1 species